rnacentral:snRNA from 1 species
GCUGACUUCAGCAGCACUAAAAUUGAAACAAUAUGGAAGAUUGGCUUGGCCCCUGAGCAUGGAUGACAUACAAAUCAUAAUGUGUUCCAUAUUGUU